rnacentral:misc_RNA from 1 species
UCGCGGCUUAUCACCGGCAGUCCCCUUAGAGUGCCCAACUGAAUGAUGGCAACUAAGGGCGAGGGUUGCGCUCGUUGCGGGACUUAACCCAACAUCUCACGACGCGAGCUGACGACAGCCAUGCAGCACCUGUCUUGGGACUCCGAAGAGCGACCCCCGUUUCUGGAGAUCUUCCCCAAGAUGUCAAGCCCAGGUAAGGUUCUUCGCGUUGCGUCGAAUUAAACCACAUGCUCCACCGCUUGUGCGGGCCCCCGUCAAUUCCUUAGAGUUUUAGCCUUGCGGCCGUACUCCCCAGGCGGGGCGCUUAAUGCGUUAGCUACGGCACGGAAAACAGAAAAGCUCCCCACACCUAGCGCCCAACGUUUACAGCGUGGACUAC